GGCCGCAGAACCAGGACCUAGGCUGCAGAACCGGGACCUAGGCCGCAGAACCGGGACCUAGGCCGCAGAACCGGGAGCUGGGCCGCGGAACCGGGAGCUGGGCCGCAGAACCAGGACCUAGGCCGCGGAACCGGGAGCUGGGCCGCGGAACCAGGAGCGGGGCCACAGAACCAGGACCUAGGCUGCAGAACCGGGAGCUGGGCCGCAGAACCGGGUCUCAGCAGUUCCUUUUUGGAGAACUGGGACUGGGACUUAGGAGCUGGAGGGAGACAAGAUGUCUCUGAAGAUGCAGAGUGAGGAAAAACGGAUUCGAUUUAUCCAGAAGCCAUCCGUGGUCUGAGGCGGCUACUGUUGGGCUGAGGCCGAACACAUACACCCAGGACGCCCAGUGAUUAGAGCUCUAGAGCACAGGUGAGCAAGAAUUGGUGUCUUCUUUCCCUUAAAAAUAAAAAUAGUAAUAAUAAUAAAAAGAUUUAUUUCUUUAUUUGAGAGAGAGCGAGCAUGAGUGGGGUGCUGGGAAGGAGGCAACAAGGAGGC
rnacentral:lncRNA from 1 species